rnacentral:rRNA from 1 species
CCUGGCUCAGAUUGAACGCUGGCGGCAUGCUUUACACAUGCAAGUCGAACGGGGUUGGGAGCUUGCUUCCAAUCUAGUGGCGAACGGGUGAGUAAUACAUCGGAACGUACCGUGUAGUGGGGGAUAACGUAGCGAAAGUUACGCUAAUACCGCAUACGAUCCACGGAUGAAAGCAGGGGACCUUCGGGCCUUGUGCUAUACGAGCGGCCGAUGUCUGAUUAGCUAGUUGGUGAGGUAAAGGCUCACCAAGGCGACGAUCAGUAGCGGGUCUGAGAGGAUGAUCCGCCACACUGGGACUGAGACACGGCCCAGACUCCUACGGGAGGCAGCAGUGGGGAAUUUUGGACAAUGGGCGCAAGCCUGAUCCAGCCAUGCCGCGUGUCUGAAGAAGGCCUCGGUUGUAAGGUAACGUUUUAGUUCGUAGGGAGG